rnacentral:rRNA from 1 species
AGCCUUGUACACACCGCCCGUCAAGUCAUGGGAGCUGGUAGUACCCGAAGUCCGCUUAGCUAACCGUAAGGAAGCGGCGGCCGACGGUAAGACCGGUGACUGGGACU